rnacentral:rRNA from 1 species
GAUGAACGCUAGCGGCGGGCUUAAUACAUGCAAGUCGGACGGGAUUCAGGAGCUUGCUUCUGAUGAGAGUGGCGCACGGGUGCGUAUCACGUAUGUAAACCACCUUUUUCAGGGGGGUAGCCUUUCGAAAGAGAGAUUAUGCCCGCAUAAAAUCACUGCACAGCCUUGUUUAGUGAUCAAAUGUUUAUGGGAUCAAGAUGGGAAUGCCGACCAUUAGCUAGAUGGCGGGGUAACGGCCCACCCUGGCGACGAUGUUUAGGGGAUCUGAGGGGAUGGCCCCCGACACGGUGACUGAGCCAAGGACCAGAGUCCUACGGGAGGGAGCAGUAAGGGAUAUUGAGCAGGGGACGGAAGCCUGAUCCAGCCAUGCCGCAUGCAGCAAGGCGGCGUGACGGGUGGUAAACUGCGGUUAUACGGGAGUAAUCCCAGAUACGGGUAUCUGGCUGAAUGUACUGUGAAAAUAAGGACCGGCUAACUCCGUG